GAUGAACGCUGGCGGCGUGCCUAAUACAUGCAAGUCGAGCGAACGGACGAGAAGCUUGCUUCUCUGAUGUUAGCGGCGGACGGGUGAGUAACACGUGGAUAACCUACCUAUAAGACUGGGAUAACUUCGGGAAACCGGAGCUAAUACCGGAUGAUAUUUUGAACCGCAUGGUUCAAAAGUGAAAGACGGUCUUGCUGUCACUUAUAGAUGGAUCCGCGCUGCAUUAGCUAGUUGGUAAGGUAACGGCUUACCAAGGCAACGAUGCAUAGCCGACCUGAGAGGGUGAUCGGCCACACUGGAACUGAGACACGGUCCAGACUCCUACGGGAGGCAGCAGUAGGGAAUCUUCCGCAAUGGGCGAAAGCCUGACGGAGCAACGCCGCGUGAGUGAUGAAGGUCUUCGGAUCGUAAAACUCUGUUAUUAGCGAAGAACAUAUGUGUAAGUAACUGUGCACAUCUUGACGGUACCUAAUCAGAAAGCCACGGCUAACUACGUG
rnacentral:rRNA from 1 species